AUGACAGUACUCCUACGGGAGGCAGCGGUGGGAAUAUUGACAAUGGGCGCAAGCCUGAUGCAGCCAUGCCGCGUGUGUGAAGAAGGCCUUCGGGUUGUAAAGCACUUUCAGUCGUGAGGAAGGUGGUGUAGUUAAUAGCUGCAUUAUUUGACGUUAGCGACAGAAGAAGCACCGGCUAACUACGUGCCAGCAGCCGCGGUAAUACGUAGGGUGCAAGCGUUAAUCGGAAUUACUGGGCGUAAAGCGUGCGCAGGCGGUUCGGAAAGAAAGAUGUGAAAUCCCAGAGCUUAACUUUGGAACUGCAUUUUUAACUACCGGGCUAGAGUGUGUCAGAGGGAGGUGGAAUUCCGCGUGUAGCAGUGAAAUGCGUAGAUAUGCGGAGGAACACCGAUGGCGAAGGCAGCCUCCUGGGAUAACACUGACGCUCAUGCACGAAAGCGUGGGGAGCAAACAGGAUUAGAUACCCUGGUAG
rnacentral:rRNA from 1 species